rnacentral:tRNA from 1 species
CCCCCGAUAGCAUAGUUGGUUUAAUGCGCUCGACUGUAAUGGAUAACAUUAAUCGAGAGAUCCGCGGCUCGACUCCGCGUCGGGGGA